rnacentral:tRNA from 1 species
GCCUCUGUGGUGAAAUUGGUAGACACGCUGCACUUAGGAUGCAGUGCCUUCGGCAUUUCGGUUCGAGUCCGAACAGAGGCA